rnacentral:rRNA from 1 species
UGGCGGACGGGUGAGUAACACGUGAGAAUUCACCUUUAGGCGGGGAAUAACUAUCAGAAACGAUAGCUAAUGCCCCAUAUGCUUGUAAAAGUAAAAGGAGAAAUCCGCCUAAAGAGAAGCUCGCGGCUGAUUAGCUAGUUGGUAAGGUAAUGGCUUACCAAGGCGACGAUCAGUAGCUGGUUUGAGAGAAUGAUCAGCCACACUGGAACUGAGACACGGUCCAGACUCCUACGGGAGGCAGCAGUGAGGAAUUUUCCGCAAUGGGCUAAAGCCUGACGGAGCAAUACCGCGUGAGGGAUGACAGCCUUAGGGUUGUAAACCUCUUUUAUCAAGGAGGAAGUUCUGACGUGUACUUGAUGAAUAAGCAUCGGCUAACUCCGUGCCAGCAGCCGCGGUAAGACGGAGGAUGCAAGUGUUAUCCGGAAUCACUGGGCGUAAAGCGUCUGUAGGUGGUUUAAAAAGUCCACCGUUAAAAAUUGAAGCUUAACUUCAAAGAUGCUGUGGAAAC